GUUCUUUAAAUUUUUUUAACUAUAUGAUAUUGUUCAUAAUUAAAAGGUAUUUUAAAUUUUUAGAAUUUUAAAUAUUUAAAAUUAAUAAAUUGGGUUAAACAAAUCAUAAAUGUCUUUUCUCAAAAACAAAUCAUAAACAUGACUGAUUGAAUGAGUUAUAUGAGUUGAUAUGAUUACAACCAAAACAUGAUUAUGUGUGACCCGAAGCCACUAAAAUUUAUGUCUUUUAUCACUCAUGUUAGGCUGUGUCAAAAUUGCCACAUGUAUUAGUGCACUGAGUAACCCUAAAUGUAAUUGCCUAAAGCCUAGAUGCUCUUACGUGGGCUUUAGUCAAAGAUUGGGUCGUCCCAACUCUGGGCUUAUUCCAAGAAGAGAAGUGCAUCAAGCAUGUUGAGCUUGCCUAAGAGCUUCCUUAGUGAGCCCAAACCAAGAUGGCCCAUAGAUCUCAAGACUAGGCUGACCCAAAUAGUAUGACCAUGUAAUUACACAGGCUGGGCAGUAUCCCUUCACUGUUCAAGCCCGCUCUCUUUUGGGCCUCAAGGCUUAGUAGGCUAGCACCAAACACCAAUUUAUUGGAUUGUUUCGAAGUGUUAAAAGAGAAAUUAUAUUUGCAUCUACCAAACUUUCUAUAUAUCCAUUAGAAUUAUGAUUUUUCAAGGAUAAACUUUCUAUAUAUCCAUUAGAAUUAUAGGUUUUUUAAAGAUAAAAGUACUUAUGUGAAAAAGAUUGAAAUUCUUUUACAAAUUAAUUCGGAUCAUCAUCCCACUUCUUCUUUCAUUUCUUUUUUCUUAUGUUAUGUUUGAUUCCCGAAAAAUACUAAGGAAAGAAAAAAAUGUAAAGAAAAAUUAUUUUUUCAUGUUUUGUUGUAUUAUGAAAAAUAUAAAAUAUAAUUAAAACUAAGUAAAAACUUAUGUAUUUUUAAAUUAUUUAAUCUUUAUAUUGAUGAGUUAAUAAAAUGAGUUUGAAGUAACAAAAAAAAUAAUUUAUCGACUUUUAAUCUAUUUUUUAUUUUCCUUCAUUUUUUCUUUCCUUCCACCUUUCCUUUGUAUUUUCUUUCCCUUACAUUUUCCCUCAAAUUUUUUGGGAACCAAACAUAACAUUAAUCUUUUCAUAACUCUAGUAAUUUUUUUCCCUAAAAAUUAUAAUCUUAGAAUAAUAAAAAACAAAUUAUCAUCUCCGAUAAUAUUAGAAAUGAAGAUAUACUAUUUUUACCACUUUUUUUUUAUAAAUUUAAGAGCUUAAAAAAUGAGGAGAUCAUAAAAAGGGUUUCGAAUUUUAGGGAUGGAUGCUUUUUGAAGCUUUUAAUAUUAGACACUAUAUCUUCACAUAGCUCUUAAGGUGUCCAACAAUACUAUACAUCCAAAUAUGUCUUAAACUUUUAUGUAAAAAAUAAUUAAAACCCCAUUUGAUAAUGCUUCUUAAAAGUGUUUCUAGUCCUAAAAAUAUUUAAAAGCAUUUUUAAGGUAAAAAAUAGGUAUUUGACAAUAUUUAAAAAAAAAACUUCAAAAAAUUUAGAAAAAUACCUGAAGUGAUUUUUAGAGAAGCACUUAGGAAAUGAUUUUUAAAAAAAUCACUUUAAAAACUUACAAAUAUUCAUGAAAUACCCCCAAAUGUUUUCCAAUACCCUCCAUUUCCCUUUCAUUUUUCUCUUCCUCCUUCCCUCUCCGUCCGAGUGGAGACUCUACAAUCGAAGGCUUUUGUCACUCUCGUUCAAAAUCGUUGAACUCUACUCCAAAGUACUCUCCAUUCUAAAUGGGCAAGUUUAUAAAGUGAAUAAUAUGUACAUUGCAAAUAUAUAUUGGAAAUUAAUGCUUUUAGGCAUUUACCUCACAAAAGGAAAGAAACUCGCAUAUGCUUAUAAUUGGACAUUAUCCGGGCAUCAUAAAAGGUAUAAUUUUAACCAUAUUUUAUAACCCAACUCUCCACUCCACAUAGGAAUACAUCAGGGUAAGAAUUAAUAUUUGACUGUUUUAAUUUUAAACAAAUACAAUUUAAGAAAACUUUUGAAUCUUAAGUAGCGACUCACCCAUCAUUUUGUAAUAAAAAUUUAUUAUUUUUAAUUUAAUAUAUAAUCAAAUAAUUUGUUUCAUUUUUUCGUUAAAAGAAUUGUUAUAUUAUGAUUGAUGUUUAUUUAUUAAUCCAUUUAAAAAUAUAUAUUUUCCAUAAUUUUCUUGUAAUUAUAAAAAUGAUUAUUUUAGUUUUUUUAACAAUAUAAAUAUUUAUACAUUGAAAAGUUUUGGAUUUAUUAUAAUAUUUACUUUUUGUAAUUAAAUUAUAUGUUCUUUUUGAUAAUUUAUUAAUAUUAAAAUAUUUCUAUACUUAUGCAACAUAUUGUCAAAAAUAUUAUUAAAAUCAUUUUUCCAGAAUAUCAUAACAUAGUUUUUCAUAGAAAUAUUAUAGGGUAAACAUUUUCAAUAAAAACACUUCAUCUAAAAGUACUAUCAAUCGAGUUCAAGAGUUUAUUUUAUAGUGUUUUUACUCAAAAAAAUUUUACUUUUGCAAAGAUAAAUAGCUAGAGCAAAGAUUUAUGAGAUAAGAAGCGUUAGUAACACUAAUAAAUUCAUUAUCAGUCCAAUGCACAUGCUCCUUGUGGCGUAAUGCCAUGUGGUCCAACUUUAUGCCAUUACAAGACAUUAUCAAAGCCUAAGCUUGCAAAUCAUCAAAACGCUUAGCAAAAAACUCAUCGGUGUGAUAAGUCAGUGGGGGAUGGUUCCAAGAAGGAGAAAUGCAAUGGGUGUCAAAAUAUUCACCUAACCAUCCAUAUAAGUAAUAAAUAGGGAAAAUAGAUGCAUUAUUCUCAAGUUUCGAAGAACAAACGAUUUCAUUUAAGCCGUUGUAAAUGCUUGCUAACACCGGAAUAGUAUGUUUCACCUUGAAUCAUUCUAUUAGCUACCUUGAAUACUCACCUUACCUCAGUAACUGCAUUAGCCCAAUAACACUUGUUCUCACCUCCACCCACAAACUCCUCGAUCUCACCAAUUUCCCCUCCCUCCUCCACCAACACAAAAACCCUUGGAUUUGACACAGGUAACUUCUUAAACCCGAUAUCCCCACCCUCAACGGACUAAUACACGAUAUGAAGGGGCAUUUCCACGCGACACCCAGCCGGAACAUACACAACAACCAUGUCCAGUGUGCCCAACCCAUUGAGGGACCAAAACAGGUCCCCUUCAAAAUUGGCCACAAAUUCAGACACCCUUUUCGUGAUGGUUUCAGAAGGGAGGCUCGACAGGGAACCUACGAAAACGCCAGUGGGCAAUUGGGACAAAUUGGAGAGAGAAUAUAUAAUGUGGCCAUCCACGAUGCAGAGAUUGGGAAAUUGGGUGUCGGUGGAAAUGGCGAUUGAAGUUGGUGGGUGUGAAAUAGGGGUGACUUGGGAGUAUCUGAUAAGGGAAGUGUCUGUGAAGCGAAAGGGCUCGUCUUUGCGAGAAGGCCAUGGAGUAGAAAGCACGGUUUGUGAGGAGGCGUCUCUGAGCUUUUGGAGAGGUGGUGGAGAAGAGGUUGAAGAAGAAGAGAGAGAGUCCUCUAGGCUUUCUGCAAUCUGGGGGACAAAUGGGUCGGAGAAGGUUGCCCUAAUUUUGGGGGUUGAGCGGGAUUUGGGUGUUGGGAAUUUAGAAGCAGAGGUUUGUAUGGAUAGUUUAGGGUUUAAGAGAAGGUGAGGUGAAAGCAAAGUAGCAGCCAUGGUUAUGGCUGUGGCCGGUUCCAGAAAGUCUGCGAGGCUAAGCGUGGCUCACUACUAGGGGCCUUUAAGGCUGAACCCCGGCCAUCCCCAAGAGGGAUGAUAAGGACUUUGCUGUGUCCGAGGAUUGAAAUGUCGAAAAAUUUCGGAAAUAUCGCUUAUCGGCCGGCUCCGACACAGUAUUCAUCACCGAAAUUUCGGUAAUUUUUCGAAAAUAUCGCCGAUAUUUAUUUUUACCGAUUUUUCGGAAAAUUUCCCCAUAUUUCCUACCAGCCCAGCCCGCGCACAGGAUAUAAAAUCUGUACAAUUUUUUUAAAAAAAAAAAAAAACAUUAGAUGCUAUUUGAUCAUGAUUUGAAUCGUGGAUUUAGGGUUCGUGAAAUUUAAAUCCAAUGGCAAGAGACCCUAGAACAGAUCCAGAAAACACAGGGACCCAAAAAAAAAAAAAAAAAAAAAAACAAUUUUUUUUUUGUUUUGCAUAGAUUUUCUUGGAAAUCGAGAAUGAAUUUUCCCGGAAAUCGAAUGGGGAUGGAUUUUCUUGGGAAUCAAAAAGGGGUUGCAAAAAAAUAAUAAUAAUAUAACAUGAUUUAGAUUAGUACCUGCUAGGAUUGAGAGUGGCAGAGGAAAAUAGGGCCUUUUUAGAGGGAUUCUCUCGUCUGGAGGGCAACUUCAGAAAAGGGCUUCUUGAUGCCCGAGUGAGAGAAGUGAGUGGAGGAAAAUAGGGCCUUUUUAGAGGGAUUCUCUCGUCUGGAGGGCAACUUCAGAAAAGGGCUUGGCUAUUUAAUCUGUCUAACCUUGUUUAACUUGUUUAUGUAAUCUUGUUAAAAUGAUUCAUUUAUGACUUGACUAAAUUAUAAUGUAUUUAAUCCAUAUACAUUUAUUAAUUUUAUAUAUUUAAAAAUUAUUAAAAUUAAAAAUAGGUUCAUAACUGAAAAAAGUAAGUAAUUA
rnacentral:lncRNA from 1 species